GUGGAGUUUACUGUAAGUUGUAAAAUCAACGAUUCUCUCCACACAAAGAGUUAAAAGAAUUAACAUAUAUUUACAGUUAAGUAAGGGAAAUUUUUCAAAAUAUGGCUGAUUUAUUCUGUUUUAUAACUUCUCAUCCAGUUUCAUCAUGGGCUCAGGAGAAUUGACUAUUAGUGGACCAAAAUAAGCAUAGUUAUUAUAUGGCAUGUUGGGAGUUUCAUUAUAAGUAUAAAUUUUUAUGCUAUUGGACUUUAAUUAUUUCAGGCUGGGUUUCUGAUGUCUUCAUACCUCCAGAUAAUUGGAUUCUUAAACUUAACAGCCAGAAAUGGAAAAUCCAUGUUGUUUUAAGGAAAGCAGAGCAACAAGAAAAUCAUGUACAAGAGCCUAUGAAACAAAACAGAAAAGUAAAAUUGUGACAGGCAUAUAGAUUGAGAAGGAGAAGUUACAUAUACAUGUAUAAUCAGUGGAAGGGAGACAACUCAUAUUUUGAUCCCUUGACCAACUAUUCAGACAGAUUUCAUAAUCCAUGUUAUUAUGAAAUGUGAAGAAAGUACAGUUUCAGAUGGCAUUUUUCAGACAGAAGUUUGUGUUGGAAUGAUGGCGAUCUCUUCUAUCAGUAAGAGAAUGAGGUAAAAGCAAUAUUUGAUUAUGAAGACAGCAACUGCCCUCUAUGGCUGUGUGUUG